UAAUCAGGGAAGGACAGCUGCUUCCUUGUCAGCAACCAAGAGGGAAAUAAAGCUCAUGUCCCCUCCAGCGAAAACCUGCUCUCCGGGUCCCCUGGCUCCUGCCACCAACUGCUCGAUGUCUGUGUGCCAAUCCAAUUGGAAUGCCUGCGAGUCACCCCAGAGAGGGCUUAUUUUAACUUCAUCAACUGCAGAGAAAAACAUCCAGGCUGGAGCGUUUCCUAGUCAUGCUUCAAGACUCAGUGUCACUGGCUGCUUCCCCACCCCUCCGGGCAGAGUGAGAUGUUCUCCCUGGAUCCCUGCAGGAUUUUGUAUGUCCCUCUGUUUUCACAAGCCCUGUGCUGGGUGUCCAGGACAGAUGUGAACCCCAGCCGGUCCCUGCAGCACAAGGAUAGGAAUGUGUGCAAGAGACGUUUCUGACAGCGACUCCAAUUACAAGAGACUUACAUUUUUAGUUCAUUCAUUUAUUGUUUUUCUGUGCAUGCAGUGCUUUAAUAAUGAAAAUAACAAGAAAUGU